AUGUCUAAAGAAUUUUAUGGUUUGAAAUCUCAGUUUGCUCAUCUUAAAAAUUUAGUGGGUCAAAUUUCGGAUAAGCAAGCCACCUUAGUUAAUAAGAUUGCCGCUAAACGGGAGGAUCUACAUGAUAAUAAAGAUGUAGAUCUAAUAGUGAUUGAUGUGUCUCCUAUUAAAUCUUUGUUUUCCAUUAUGAAUCUUGAUAAAGAAGGGACUCGAGAUGAGUCAACUUUAGUUAAAAGGCGUCUCAAUUAUUCGGAGUUUUUAGAUCUUGAUGCUAAAAUUAAUAAAAGUGGGAUUGAAGAGGUCAAAACUUUAUAUAGCAAUGAACCCACUAUUUUGGAUUUCAAGGAAUUUAAUUAUGAUAAUUUCUCUUUGAUAGAUUGUAUUUCCUUGUUGCAAUCCGUGUUAAAUUCUCCUCAUGCUUAUGAUCAAAAUAAGACUUUUACUAAACAUAUCGUUGAUGCUUUAAUGCAAUCUUAUGAAGAAAAGCUUGAACUAGAAGUUUCUGUUCCUAGAAAACUUUAUGAUGAGUGGGAACCUACCAUUAAAAUUAAGAUCAAAGAUCACGAAAGCUAUCCUUUAUGUGAUUUGGGUGCUAGUGUUUUCACGAUUCCAAAAUCUUUGUGUGAUGUGUUAGGUUUCCGUGAAUUUGAUGAUUAUUCUUUAAAUUUGCACCUUGCAGAUUCCACCAUUAAGAAACCUAUGGGAAGAAUUAAUGAUGUUCUUAUUAUUGCAAAUAGGAAUUAUGUGCCCGUAGAUUUCAUUGUUCUUGAUAUAUAUUGCAAUUCUACAUGUUCUAUUAUUCUUGAUAGACCUUUCCUUAGAACGAUUGGUGCAAUUAUUAACAUGAAAGAAGGAAAUAUUAGCUUGCAAUUUCCGUUGAGGAAAAGCAUGAAACACUUUCCUAGAAGGAAAUUAAAUUACCUUAUGAAUCUAUUAUGA
rnacentral:rRNA from 1 species